rnacentral:rRNA from 1 species
GAGGGGGCAAGCGUUGUUCGGAAUUACUGGGCGUAAAGGGCGCGUAGGCGGCCUGCUAAGUCGAACGUGAAAUCCCUGGGCUCAACCCAGGAACUGCGUCCGAUACUGGUUGGCUUGAAUCCGGGAGAGGGAUGUGGAAUUCCAGGUGUAGCGGUGAAAUGCGUAGAUAUCUGGAGGAACACCGGUGGCGAAGGCGACAUCCUGGACCGGCAUUGACGCUGAGGCGCGAAGGCCAGGGGAGCAAACGGGAUUAGAUACCCCGGUAGUCCUGGCCCUAAACGAUGAAUGCUUGGUGUGGUGGGUAUCGAUCCCUACCGUGCCGAAGCUAACGCAUUAAGCAUUCCGCCUGGGGAGUACGGUCGCAAGGCUG